rnacentral:ncRNA from 1 species
UCUUUCGGGGCAGGGUGAAAUUCCCAACCGGCAGUGAUUAAGCCUGCGACCUGCUUGUGAUGCACAAGUGGCUGAUUCAGUGAGAUUCUGAAGCCGACAGUAUAGUCUGGAUGGGAGAAAGA